GCGGGAUUCGUCCCGUUAAAAGGAAUGUAGCCUGUCACAGGCUGAACCUUGAG
ncrna:unclassified sequences eL15-Euryarchaeota ribosomal protein leader